UCCAUUAAUUCCAUUCCAGCCAUUACAAUGAGCAUGUCCUCCUAUAGCUCCUCCCACCAGCCUCCACUGCUACCCACCCCCAGUGAAGGGCCAUCCUGUAACCCAAUGACCCAGGAUUACACCAAAAGACCCUUGGGUCAUACCAUCUCUGGCCAUCGGCGGGGGUCAUAGGUCAUAGAUCAGAGGUCAUUGUACCAUCCCUGCUCUGCUCUCUGCAUCACCCUAUAAUAUCACAGACACAGUAGUCAUUAUCUAUGAAGUGCAAAACAACAAGUAUUUUUGAUUAGCAUUAUGCAACGAAUGUCAUAUCUCUGAAAAAUUUAUUACGUUUCCCCAUAUAAUAAAAACUGCUACAGCAGACAGUGAAACAUGUCUUGACAGAGGAUACUGUAUAGGAGAUUUCCAAGGUUGUCGCGAGAAGGGAAAAACCACACCCAAAGUUAGCUAGAUCCCUCACAGACAGACCGUUGUAUGUUUUUGAACGUUAAUAAUCGAAUAAAAUGAAAUUAAAAACAUGGCUAGCAUCUUCAAAACUGUUUUAAAAUACUAGUUAAAAAGAAUAAAGAAAGAAACCAGCAAGAGAAAAAGAAAAAAGCUAUAUGACAAUAAAAUAAAAUAAUAACAAUAAAAUCAAUCCAGUCACAAAUCCGAUAAAAUAAAAAUAAAAACAUUAUUACAGUAGUCAGAUGUCCAGUGGUUUAUAUAAUAAUAUAUUAGGCUGGUGUCAAAAAAAACAUAAUCUACAGUAAAAAAGUAAAAAUAACCAAAACAAGCUAUACAACACUACUAUAUACAGCACACAGCGUGUCUCUCUCUCGUAAGGGGAGAGCUGGUAAGUAUGUAAGGGAGAGGGAGACUGAAAACAGAGAUCUUGCUGUAACACAAGAGUCUUUCUUGGCACAGAAAACGGUAGUUACCAGCACAGACGGACGAGAGGAGAGGAGCUUCUCAAAGAUAAGGAGGACAGCACAGAGCAGUACUGCCUUCCCCACAGACACACACACACACACACACACACACACACACACAGACUGUACACACACACACACACACAGAGAGACUGUACACACACACACACACACACACACUGGGGAAAGAGCCAUUUUGUCACACAGAUACGUGGGCUGAUUGGGGGGGAAGUCACAGCAAUGUAGCCGUCACACAGACUAUUGUAACCCCUCAGGACUGGCUCCUCCCUUCCUCUCUCUCUAGCUACCCAUCCCCCUUUCCUUCUCCAGUCCUCCCCACAGGCUUAUAUUUGAUCUCUCACAGGAUACGAUAUCUGAUCAUUCACAGGGGUCAGGACACCUGCAGUUCCAGACCCCAGUCAGGGCUCGUCUAUAUAUAGGCUGACGGUCACAGUAUGGGGGUUAUGUAUCUGGAGCUGACCAAGACGUCUGGAACUCUGGAUCCAUUUCUCAGGCUCACUGGAAACUAGUCUGGAGGAAAUGGGAGAGCCACAGCCAGGACUGGAACAGGAGUGGGGCUGUGUAUUGUACAGUUGUUGUAUAUCCUCCCAACACUGAUAAAAUCAUUAACACACACACGCACGAGCGCACACACACACACAUGCACACACACACAAACAGAUAGAACACGUUUUUAUCUCUAUGCGCACACACACACUUUUGAAAAAAGUAAAAAGUAAAAGGGAACACUAUCUCCUCGUCGCAGACCCAUUUCUCUCUGAUAUAAAGUGACAGUUGGUUCAGUCCUGCUGGUUCAGAAAGUCUCUGUGGUCACAGGAGAACGUGGGGGGAAAACACAGCCUGUCUGACCUAUAUACACAGUCCCACUGACUGACACCCUGUUCAUCCAAUCAGGAUCCCCGGAUUCCCCCGGUUCCUACUGUUCAUCCAGUAGCAGCUUAGCUCUGUCCUCCAGGUGCUAGGUGAGCUGGAUAGGUGUAUAGUAGUUUGUGGUCAUAUUGUGGUUAUGGUUGGUUGGACCGCAGCCUGGGUGGGUUCACAGUUUGGGGUUAGUUCUCCAUGCAGGUGGAAAGAUGAGUAGAAGUGAGUCCAUGUUACUCAGUAGAGGUGAGUCCAGGUUACCCAGUAGAGGUGAGUCCAGGUUACUCAGUAGAAGUGCGUCCAGGUUACUCAGUAGAAGUGCGUCCAGGUUACUCAGAGGGAGGAGGGGUGGAGCAGAACACAGUGUUUAGACAAGGAGUAUUUUGGUUUUUGGGGUCCAGAGUCUUGGAGUAGAGCCAAUAUAGAGGGGGUACACACACACACA